CGGAGGAUGCAAGCGUUAUCCGGAUUCAUUGGGUUUAAAGGGUGCGUAGGCGGGCUAUUAAGUCAGUGGUGAAAUCCUGCAGCUUAACUGCAGAACUGCCGUUGAUACUGAUAGUCUUGAGUUUGGUUAAGGUAGGCGGAAUGUGUAAUGUAGCGGUGAAAUGCUUAGAUAUUACACAGAACACCGAUUGCGAAGGCAGCUUGCUGGGCCAUUACUGACGCUGAUGCACGAAAGCGUGGGGAGCGAACA
rnacentral:rRNA from 1 species